GACGAACGCUGGCGGCGUGCUUAACACAUGCAAGUCGAACGGAAAGGCCCUUCGGGGUACUCGAGUGGCGAACGGGUGAGUAACACGUGGGUGAUCUGCCCUGCACUUUGGGAUAAGCCUGGGAAACUGGGUCUAAUACCGAAUAGGACCACGCGCUUCAUGGUGUGUGGUGGAAAGCUUUUGCGGUGUGGGAUGGGCCCGCGGCCUAUCAGCUUGUUGGUGGGGUAAUGGCCUACCAAGGCGACGACGGGUAGCCGGCCUGAGAGGGUGACCGGCCACACUGGGACUGAGAUACGGCCCAGACUCCUACGGGAGGCAGCAGUGGGGAAUAUUGCACAAUGGGCGCAAGCCUGAUGCAGCGACGCCGCGUGAGGGAUGACGGCCUUCGGGUUGUAAACCUCUUUCAAUAGGGACGAAGCGCAAGUGACGGUACCUAUAGAAGAAGCACCGGCCAACUACGUGCCAGCAGCCGCGGUAAUACGUAGGGUGCGAGCGUUGUCCGGAAUUACUGGGCGUAAAGAGCUCGUAGGUGGUUUGUCGCGCUGUUCGUGAAAACUCACAGCUUAACUGUGGGCGUGCGGGCGAUACGGGCAGACUAUAGUACUGCAGGGGAGACUGGAAUUCCUGGUGUAGCGGUGGAAUGCACAUAUAUCAGGACGAACACCGGUGGCGAAGGCGGGCCUCUGGGCAGUAACUGACGCUGAGGAGCGAAAGCGUGGGGAGCGAACAGGAUUAGAUACCCUGGUAGUCCACACCGUAAACGGUGGGUACUAGGUGUGGGUUCCUUCCUUGGGAUCCGUGCCGUACCUAACGCAUUAACUACCCCGCCUGGGGAGUACGGCCGCAAGGCUAAAACUCAAAGGAAUUGACGGGGGCCCGCACAAGCGGCGGAGCAUGUGGAUUAAUUCGAUGCACCGCCAAGAACUUUACCUGGGUUUGACAUGCACAGGACGCCGGCAUAAAUGUCGGUCUCCCUUGUGGCCUGUGUGCAGGUGGUGCAUGGCUGUCGUCAGCUCGUGUCGUGAGAUGUUGGGUUAAGUCCCCCAACGAGCGCAAUCCUUGUCCUAUGUUGCCAGCGGGUUAUGCCGGGCACUCAUAGGAUAGUGCCGGGGCUCAACUCAGAGGAAGGUGGGGACCACGUCCAAUCAUCAUGCCCCUUAUGUCCAGGGCUUCCCACAUGCUUCAAUGGGCCGGUACAAUGGGCCUGCCACUCCAUGGGGUGCCACCCAAUCCUUUCCAAGCCCGGUCUCCGAUUGAAUUCGGCUUGUGCCACUUCAACCCCCGAAACUCCGAUUCCUUAUAUUUCCACAACCUCUUCGCUGGGAGUGAAACCGUUCCCGGGCUC
rnacentral:rRNA from 1 species